rnacentral:tRNA from 1 species
UGGUUCAGUGGAAAGAACAUUGAACUUGGAGUCCAAAAACCUGGGUUGAAAUCUCAG